AAGGGCCCGCGGGGGCUUAACCAGCAGCCGGGUUGAACGCAAUUCAGCCCCGGUUCACAGAUCAAACCAUGACGGCCACCUGGGAUUAUUAGGUGGUUCAGAUAUGACCGGAGCCCCCGCUGUUUAAGCGGGGGAUACCUUGUCCGUAGGUGAACCUGCGGAAGGAUCAUUACCGAGAUAGGGUCCCUUGGGCCCGAACCUCCACCCGAUGCGUACUUACCAUUUGUUGCUUUGGCGGGCCGUGGGGCCCGCGCGCCCCCCGUCGACCUCGGUGGACGAGCGCCCGCCAGAGACCCCUUAAACUCAGUAGAUCAAUGGCGUCCGAGCAAUGACAAAUCAGUUAAAACUUUCAACAACGGAUCUCUUGGUUCUGGCAUCGAUGAAGAACGCAGCGAAAUGCGAUAAGUAAUGUGAAUUGCAGAAUUCAGUGAAUCAUCGAAUCUUUGAACGCACAUUGCGCCCUCUGGUAUUCCGGGGGGCAUGCCUGUUCGAGCGUCAUUACACCCCUCGAGCCCAGCUCGGUAUUGGGGGCUGUCCCCCGGGCGCCCCCGAAAAUCAGCGGCGACACGUCCGGUCCUCGAGCGUAUUAAAACUUCUGUUCCGCUUCGAUGGGUCGGCCGCGCCAGCCGGAUAACCCCCGUUAUUUUUCCAUGAUUGACCUCGGAUCANGUAGGGAUACCCGCUGAACUUA
rnacentral:rRNA from 1 species